rnacentral:rRNA from 1 species
GACGAACGCUGGCGGCGUGCCUAAUACAUGCAAGUUGAGCGCUGAAGGUUGGUACUUGUACCAACUGGAUGAGCAGCGAACGGGUGAGUAACGCGUGGGGAAUCUGCCUUUGAGCGGGGGACAACAUUUGGAAACGAAUGCUAAUACCGCAUAAAAACUUUAAACACAAGUUUUAAGUUUGAAAGAUGCAAUUGCAUCACUCAAAGAUGAUCCCGCGUUGUAUUAGCUAGUUGGUGAGGUAAAGGCUCACCAAGGCGAUGAUACAUAGCCGACCUGGGAGGGUGAUCGGCCACAUUGGGACUGAGACACGGCCCAAACUCCUACGGGAGGCAGCAGUAGGGAAUCUUCGGCAAUGGACGAAAGUCUGACCGAGCAACGCCGCGUGAGUGAAGAAGGUUUUCGGAUCGUAAAACUCUGUUGGUAGAGAAGAACGUUGGUGAGAGUGGAAAGCUCAUCAAGUGACGGUAACUACCCAGAAAGGGACGGCUAACUAC